rnacentral:rRNA from 1 species
CCCUAAACGAUGUACACUAGUUAUUGUGAUGCAAGUCAUUGCAGUAAUGCAGCUAACGCAUUAAGUGUACCGCCUGGGGAGUACGGUCGCAAGAUUAAAACUCAAAGGAAUAGACGGGGACCCGCACAAGCGGUGGAGCAUGUGGUUUAAUUCGAAGAUACGCGAAGAACCUUACCUGGACUUGACAUCCUAUAAAGGAUUUAGAGAUAGAUUUGUGCUAGUUUACUAGAAUAUAGUGACAGGUGCUGCACGGCUGUCGUCAGCUCGUGUCGUGAGAUGUUGGGUUAAGUCCCGCAACGAGCGCAACCCUCGUCGUUAGUUGCUAACAGUUCGGCUGAGCACUCUAACGAGACUGCCUGGGUAACCAGGAGGAAGGUGAGGACGACGUCAAGUCAUCAUGGCCCUUAUGUCCAGGGCUACACACGUGCUACAAUGGUUGGGACAAUAAGACGCGAUACCGCGAGGUGGAGCAAAUCUAUAAACCCAAUCUCAGUUCGGAUAGCACUCUGCAACUCGAGUGCUUGAAGCUGGAAUCGCUAGUAAUCGUAGAUCAGCAAUGCUACGGUGAAUACGUUCCCGGGUCUUGUACUCACCGCCCGU